UUUAAUUUCAUUUUUUUCCUAUACAUAUAUUAUUUAGUAUUCCUAGAAUAUUAAAAAAAUAAGUCCUUUGUGUAAAAAUAUUUUGUUUAUUAAAAUAACCUAGAAAUUUUACAUUUUAUUAUUAUUUCAUUUUAGCACAACCUGGCAAACUGUAUUGAAAAUCUUACUGACCUAAAUUCUAUUCAACACACUAGUUUAACUUGAAUAGCCUUAUUUGAAUACCUUAAUUUCAGCACACAUUUAUAUACCACAGAUUUCACUGAUAGUGGGUUGAUUGGCAGAUUAUAAACUGGUUACUUUUUCAUUUACACCAUGGAUGGAUCUAAAGAUUCUUUUAAGGACUCUUUAAAGCUGCUUGUAUCUGAAAUUGAAACACUAAAGAAGACGCCCUCAAAACAAGUAAAAUACAUUCAACGAAUUAGUGAUAUCGAGAGCAAAUUUAAUAGUUUUCACGAAGAGGUGACACCCAAGCCUGUGUUAAGUUACCUUUACACUUGCGUAGGGAGAAUGAAAUUCUAUGGAGAUCAGAUCUUAUCUAUCUAUUUAGAGGUUUCAGAUAAUGAAAAAGCGAAACAAUUUUGGCCAGCAAAAGCCAGGUGGAAAGUUGAAUUGCUAGACGAGAAUAAUCAAAACAGUUCUGCGUUUAAUCUAGGUGAAUCCACGUGUCUUUUUAACAAACCCAGACAGGGAUUCACCGCUCAUCCUAGCGACUGGAUUUCCAUUAGGUACAACGACUUCCGACAAUCAAGACUCAUUGGUCCAGACAAUUCAAUGACAAUUAGAUGGACAGUGCUAGUUGAACCAGUGCUGCAAAAUAUUUAUUUUGAACAGUUUGAACAGCUUUUAAUCAACGCUGAACGAUAUUUUGACUUUUUUAAUGGCGGGGAAAUUAAGCAAAUUAAAGAUAAAGUGUCUGAACUUCGAAUCACGAAUAUAGAGCAUGAGAAAAAAAUGUCAGAUUUGAUGACUGAGUUUCCAAAAAUAAAAAAAAGAUUGACCGAUAUAGAAGAAAAGCAGAAUCUUAUAGACAUUGAGUUCAGAAAAAUUUAUAGUAAAAAUGAGCAGAAAAAUAUAACUAGAGAUGAAAGAAUUCCACAAACAUCGUAGAAAACAGUAUACCAUUCGUAAAGAUACAGUCUCACAAAGUAUAUUGUACAACUGAAGGUUGAUAAAAGGAAUAUUUCACCUAAAUGUUUUAGUUAAGUUUACACAUAAAUGGAUUUGAUACAAUAAAAGCGUUUGUAUGAUAAAGAUGUUAUGCACUGUCCAUUACGAUAAACCUUUAUUUAUAAAUGUGCUUAUUUACAUCGAUUUUUUAAUUCGUUUUACUGACACAUGCGAGAUGAUGCAAAGCUGAAUAAAAUGUAGACAUUUUUUAUUUGCUUUCAAUGUUUAUUGCUACGCAACUUUUAAGCUUAUUAUGAAGGCAUGACUUUUUUUUAUUUUGUGGAUGAUUUUAAUGUAAAUUAUAUAUUUUUUUUUAGAAACUAGUAAAAUUCUUUGAUGCUUUAUUUAUGCAUGCUAUGUGUAAACAUAUUUCAUGUUUCCGAUGCAUAAAAUUACUUUAAUUUAGUAAUGAAAAGGUUGUUAGAGGAGAGCCCCCCCCCCGCCCCCCUAAAUCAGUGUUUAUCAAAUUUGUACAGUAACGCGCUCCUAACAAAAACUAUUUUGCGUCCUAUAUAUCUAUCAUAGGUGCCUGGGAGGCACUAUAACCUGUAAUCGUGGAUGGUUUAAAGCAGUGAUUCCCAAAGUGGUCUAUAUGGACCCCCAGGGGUCUACGACGACCUUCAGGGGGUCCACGGAAGUUAAAAAAGAAAUUGGGGGUCUAUGAGAUGCUUUUGAGGGUCUACGAUAAUGGAUCCCAUUUAAAACCAUUACACAAUUAUAGUCACCGGGCUAUGCCUGCAAUCGCCGAUUUUUAAUUGUUUCGUUGACGAAUGCACUGCUAAUUUUUUUUAUUUUUUUAACAUUUACUAAUUCUGACCUAAGAGAACGACAGAGUGGAUAUAAUUAGAUAUGAAUAAAUAAAAUGUCAAUAAGACUUAAUACUAUUGUUUUUAUUGUAGAAAAAGGAUUGCGGUAAGUGAUUACCACUUGUUUGAGUCUGAUGGUAGAGAUAGUGAUUAUUUAGUUCAACUGGAGAGUGGAAUGCAACUAAAUGUGGCAUUUGAGGGUUAUUGAGCUCUGUAGAGUAAACCUAUUCAAGACUUCAAGAUUCUAUUUAAAAAAUGAUAAUAGUAAUAAUAUAUUAUAAUAAUCUGUAUUAUCCGUGAGGAAAUUUGUUUUACAAUUGUGCCUUACACAUUACAAUACAUUAUAAGAGCAAACAAUUUGUAGGAUAUUGCACAAACUUAACAUUCGUACAACAGUUGCUCUUUAGCAUUACAUGUACAAUUUACAACUUAAUAGGUUCAUUUUGUUGAAUGAGUUUUUGUGUCUAUUUUUAUUUUUGUGAUCAGUGUCUUAUAUCUUCUUUGCGAUGGUCAUAGAUUACAAUCAUGAAACAGAGGUGGUUGUUUUUUGCUUAAAAUCUGCACAGCUUACCUAUCAAUGUUUUUUUUUUCGUUGACUAAUUGUCCAAGUGUGCGCUUUGUUUGUGGCGAUGAUCUUGGUACAGCAUUGAACGUUACUAUUUUAUAAAGUAUAUUUAUUUUUUUAUGUUCAGAUUGCCAUACAUGGCAGUGAUGUUGAGACUUAAAAUAAUGCAGACGCUAACAUGGUAAAACAUAGAUGCUUAUCCUAUUAGGACUAUUUUUCACUAUAAUAAAAGAAAUAUUUUUUAUGAUGUUAUUAGAUUUAGUUUAUGUGCAUUGAUUUCUUAGAAUGAAUAAUACGAUGCUAUACAUCUGCUCUCAUGCAUGGGGUAGUUAUUUCCUGACAACUGCAGAACCUCACUUUUAUUUUCUUUUAUUUCCAACACACAUGAUACUUUAUUUGUACGCCUACCUUGAUACUUUAUUUGUACGCCUACCUUAGCUAAUUCUUUAACUUUCAAUCCUGGUGAAAUCCUCUUGUGCCAAUCGAAAUUUUUUAUUUUAAUAACUUUUUAAAAUAUCCUAAUUAUGUCUACAGGUAACUGAUAUUUAACAUGGCCGAAUCUAGAAAGAAAUGUAGACAGUAUAGUAUUGAAUAUUUGAAAUUUGGCUUCAUUCCUUCCUCAUCCAGCAAGCUAUUACCUAUGUGCCUUUUAUGUAACAAAAUUUUGUGUAAUGACGCCAUGAAACCAUCUAAACUGGAGAAUCAUCUGAAACGAUGCCACCCAGAUAAAAUCGAUAAAUACUUGAAGUAUUUUCAAACACUUAAAGAUAGAUCUCAGAAUAGACCUACAGUGGACAAAAUGUUCACUUCGACAUCACAAAGAGAAGAUGAUGGUUUACGAGCAUCUUACAAUAUUUCUUUACUGAUAGCAAAAUCCGGAAAACCUCACAUUGUUGGUGAAAAAUGGAUUUUGCCUGCCGUUGCAGAAGACUUACAAACUGUUUUACACAAGCCUGCUUCUGAUAUCAUUAAAAGAAUUCCUUUAAGUAACAACACAGUUCAAAGACGAAUAGAUGAAAUGAGUUAUGACACUGAAAUCUUCUUGUGUAAAUAUUUGCAAACUACAUGCUUCUCUAUACAGCUGGACGAGUCAACCUUGCCUAGUAACUAGCAUUAUUGUUGGCAUAUGUUCGUUUUAUUAUGGAUCAAGAAAUCCACAAAGAACAUCUAUUUGUAAAAACUUUGGCCAUUGAGACAAAAGGCGAAUCAAUACUGAAAGUUUUGAAGGACUACUUUAAAGAAAAAGAGAUCCCUUUAGGAAAUAUAACAUCAGUAGCAACAGAUGGAGCACCUGGAAUGGUUGGACGCUACCGAGGAUUUGUGAGCCUUUUAAAAGAAAAUGUACCCGGCGUGUUACACUGCGUUAUCCAUAGACAACAUUUAGUUGCUAAAAAUCUCAGUGUCAGAUUGCAUGAAUCUCUUCAGUUUGUCAUUACUGCUGUUAAUCGAAUCCGAGCCAACGCUUUGAAUACUCGAUUAUUUGCUCAAUUGUGUGAAGAAAAUGACGAAAACUUUCACCAACUGCUCCUUCACACUGAAGUUCGAUGGCUGUCGAAAGGCUUAUGUCUCACUAGAUUUUUUUCUCUUUUUGACACUGUUUCAGCGUUCUUACAUGAUAAAAAUUCAAUUUUAAAACAAAAUUUAAUUAAGCGGAAAUCGGACAUUGCCUAUUUGACAGACUUAUUUUAGAAAUUUAAUGAAGUUAACUUGCAGCUACAAAGAGAUAACCUGAAUUUCAUCAAAACAAAGUCCAUAAUCUCAGCAUUUCUUGCAAGAAUAAAAUUAAUGAAGCAAAACAUUGGUCGUGGCGAAUUUUCCCAAUUUCCAAAUUUAGAACACACAAAAUGUCAGGAGGACAUUUUCAUUUAUGUUGAGCAUUUGAAUUCCCGAUAUUCUGAUUUUAAAAUUAGAUUUGAUGAUAUUCUGAAUAUGGUAAUAUCUCAGUGGAUUAUCGAUCCAUAUGUUGAUAUUAUAGAAGAGGAUGAUGUAGCAUUGCAAGAAGAACUUCUAGGAAUAAGUACAAAUGAAGAACUGAAAGUACAAUUUAAAAAAAGAAUAUCAGCUCUUUUGGCUUCCAAAAGAUAUACCCGAUACGUAUCCCAUAUUAUGGAAUAUCGUCAGAAAGUUUCUAAUUGCUUUUUCAUCUUCCUAUCUUGUGGAAAGAGGGUUCAGCACUGUUACCAAUCUUCUAAUAAAUACAAGAAACAAACUGGACAUCCGUAACAGAGGAGAUUGAAGACUAAGCCUAACGAAAUGGAAGCCCAACAUUGAUAUGUGUCACGAGUCGAGUCUGUGACCUAUUUCGACCAGUUUCUAGAAGCAAGUUCAAACCAGUGCAAGUGUCCAGCGUAAACAAGUUAAUUUUAGAUAUCCAAUCAAAGAAAGAGGUUAAGGGAAAAAAUAGCACACGUCAGCUUCUAGAAGGUCAAAGUUACUAAAAUAAUUAUCUGAGAAGGUUCCAUGAUUCUGGAACGUACGAUCAAAGAAAGUAUAAAUAAGGGGAAAGUCAGUUAGACGGGGUCCUCGCAUAGUAGUAGUUCUUGUAGAGCGAUGGUCCUCGCUCAGUCCUCGAUUAGUAACAAGUUUUGUGAUAUUAGCGGGUCCAUUAAGUAAAGUUUUAGUAGUUGAAGUUGAAGUUAUACUAAGUGAAGUUUUAUGUAUCUUUAAGUUUUAUUUAUGAAGUGUCAAGUUGUUAUUGAAUUAAGAAGUUAAUUUGAUGUGAAAGUUGAAGAAGUUAUUAAAGAAGUUUGAAGAAAAUACA